GUUCUGGGACGGGAGGUAUAAC
rnacentral:miRNA from 1 species